UACGUAGGGUGCGAGCGUUGUCCGGAAUUAUUGGGCGUAAAGAGCUCGUAGGCGGCUUGUCGCGUCGGAUGUGAAAGCCCCGGGGCUUAACUCCGGGUCUGCAUUCGAUACGGGCAGGCUAGAGUUCGGUAGGGGGAGAUCGGAAUUCCUGGUGUAGCGGUGAAAUGCGCAGAUAUCAGGAGGAACACCGGUGGCGAAGGCGGAUCUCUGGGCCGAUACUGACGCUGAGGCGCGAAAGCUAGGGGAGCAAACAGG
rnacentral:rRNA from 1 species